GAUGAACGCUGGCGGCGUGCCUAAUACAUGCAAGUCGAGCGAACGGACGAGAAGCUUGCUUCUCUGAUGUUAGCGGCGGACGGGUGAGUAACACGUGGAUAACCUACCUAUAAGACUGGGAUAACUUCGGGAAACCGGAACUAAUACCGGAUAAUAUUUUGAACCGCAUGGUUCAAAAGUGAAAGACGGUCUUGCUGUCACUUAUAGAUGGAUCCGCGCUGCAUUAGCUAGUUGGUAAGGUAACGGCUUACCAAGGCAACGAUGCAUAGCCGACCUGAGAGGGUGAUCGGCGACACUGGAACUGAGACACGGUCCAGACUCCUACGGGAGGCAGCAGUAGGGAAUCUUCCGCAAUGGGCGAAAGCCUGACGGAGCAACGCCGCGUGAGUGAUGAAGGUCUUCGGAUCGUAAAACUCUGUUAUUAGGGAAGAACAUAUGUGUAAGUAACUGUGCACAUCUUGACGGUACCUAAUCAGAAAGCCACGGCUAACUACGUG
rnacentral:rRNA from 1 species